rnacentral:rRNA from 1 species
UACGAGGGGGGCGAGCGUUGUUCGGAAUUAUUGGGCGUAAAGGGCGCGUAGGCGGUUGGGUAAGUCUUGUGUGAAAUCUUCGGGCUCAACUCGAAGUCUGCACGAGAAACUAUCUGGCUUGAGUGUGGGAGAGGUGAGUGGAAUUCCUGGUGUAGCGGUGAAAUGCGUAGAUAUCAGGAGGAACACCGGUGGCGAAGGCGGUUCUCUGGGCAUGAUCUGACGCUGAGGAGCGAAAGUGUGGGGAGCGAACAGG